GUGGUUGUUGCUGGCCCUCUCGGGGGCAUGUGCACACCCACCAUCCUCAUCUCUCCACCUGUGCACCUCUUGUAGACCUGGAUUGACUUUCCGAGGCAACUCGGUCUGGAAGAUUGCUGCGCUCUGUGAGCCAGCUUUCUUUGCAUGUCCAGGCCUAUGUUUUUCAUAUACCCCUAUAGAAUGUAACAGAAUGUAUCAUUGGGCCUUGUGCCUAUAAACCUUAUACAACUUUCAGCAACGGAUCUCUUGGCUCUCGCAUCGAUGAAGAACGCAGCGAAAUGCGAUAAGUAAUGUGAAUUGCAGAAUUCAGUGAAUCAUCGAAUCUUUGAACGCACCUUGCGCUCCUUGGUAUUCCGAGGAGCAUGCCUGUUUGAGUGUCAUUAAAUUCUCAACCUUAUUAACUUUUGUUGAUAAUGGAUUGGAUUGUGGGGGUUUCUUUUGCUGGCUUCUUCACAGAGAUCAGCUCCCCUUAAAUGCAUUAGCUGGUGCCCCGCGUGGACCAUCUAUUGGUGUGAUAAUUAUCUACGCCGUGGAUGUCUGCAAUCAUAUGGGUUUCGCACUGCUUCUAACCGUCUGUUCAUUCGGACAAUACAUGACAAUUUGACCUCAAAUCAGGUAGGACUACCCGCUGAACUUAAGCAUAUCAAUAAGCGGAGGAAAAGAAACUAACAAGGAUUCCCCUAGUAACUGCGAGUGAAGCGGGAAAAGCUCAAAUUUAAAAUCUGGCGGUCUCCGGCCGUCCGAGUUGUAAUCUAGAGAAGUGUUAUCCGCGCUGGA
rnacentral:rRNA from 1 species